AUCACUUCUCAGGCUUUUGGCUAAGAUCAAGUGCAGUGUCUGUUCUUAGUUUAACAUUUGGUAUGUCCUUUAUCUGAGGACAACAUAUUAAAUGGAUUUUUGGAACUAUGAGUUGGAAUAGGAGCUUGCUCUGUCCAUUCUUAUCAACCUGUAUUGCAGUACUUAAGGAAUAGUACACCCCUU